rnacentral:lncRNA from 1 species
UAGUGUGGAGUUCAUUAGUGGGUGCAUAGCACUUUUCUUAGGGUAAAAUUAAAAAAUGAAAGGAGAUAAAUUAAAUAGCUAGUAAUUAAAGAGACAGAGAGAGAGAGAGAAAAAAAUAAAUCAUAUGUAUGUCCUCCAUACGAUCUUAACGAGUAGAAAAUAAUACAAUGGUCUAAAGACUAUGUAUAAAAUUGUAUAAAACGCUAUCUGUGUUACCCUAUAUAUAUAUAUAUAUAUACACACAUUUAGCCAGUGUCCCCCAUCAUAAUUUGUGAAAGCAUUAUAUUGAUCGAUUAAAAAUAUUCAAGUUUUAACGGUGCCCUUGUACUGUGAACUCAAUCUAAUGGUCGAACUUAUCAAUGACCUAUUUGUUCACAAAAAUGCAAUUAGGGUUUCCUUCAAGUUAUGUACAUGUUUCUUAAACCUAUGAUCUCCUGAUUCUUUUUUCACAAGCAACAAGAGUACAAUGAUAACUGAUAAAACCUUUUAUCAAAGAAAUGAACGGAUACGUGGGAGACAUGUAGAAGGAAUUGUUGAACAGGCAUGGAUGACUUUUCUUUUCCUUCUUUUUUCCCCCCGUCACACUAAGCCACCGGGCGAGGAUAACAAAGUAUUCUUACUUUUCCUCUUUGAAUGAAAAAACAUUUACCAUAUGAUAAUAAAGUCAAAUAAAGCACGAGAUGCUUUGCCAAAAAUGGUACAAAUGCAUGUCACUUAGAAAGCCCAAUCAUAUAUAUAUAUAUAUAUAUUCAUAUGCAG